CCGAGUGUAGGGUUCCUAGC
rnacentral:rRNA from 1 species